UAGCCGUGGAACCCACCGAAAGCUGAGA
rnacentral:piRNA from 2 species